UACGUAGGUGGCAAGCGUUGUCCGGAUUUACUGGGCGUAAAGAGCGCGCAGGCGGUCGUCCAAGUCGCGUGUGAAAGCCCCCGGCUCAACUGGGGAGGGUCAUUCGAUACUGCUCGGCUCGAAGACAGGAGAGGGAAGUGGAAUUCCCGGUGUAGUGGUGAAAUGCGUAGAUAUCGGGAGGAACACCAGUGGCGAAGGCGACUUUCUGGCCUGUUCUUGACGCUGAGGCGCGAAAGCUAGGGGAGCAAACGGG
rnacentral:rRNA from 1 species